UCUAGAGUGGGGAGACACCACCAGAA
rnacentral:piRNA from 1 species